AUCAACAUGUGCCAAACUCCGACCUCUUUUAAUUAAGUCUUUGUCUCUGUAAAAUCAAUGGGUAAAAAAGCAAAUAAUCAUGGAUAAAAAGGCAAAACAGAAAGUGGUUUACUUUAUGCUUUGCAAAGGUCAAAAAGUUUCAAUUCCCAAAAAGCGCUUCUUUACGAUGUGCAUUCAUAUACAAACCCAUUUCAACAACAAAUAGGUAAAAGCUAAAACAACCUUACCCUUUUAAUUAAUAUAGCAUCAACAUUGUUCUGAAUAAUGUGAAGGUGCAUUAGAAAUGAAAUUAUAAAAAUGACAGAUGCUUCCUAGAUUCCAAACCUGCUUUCCAUAUAUGAACAGGAUGGGAAGGAAUACACAGAAACCUAUAUUCAAUGCUAUUCCUUUCCUUGUCACACAGAUGCACUGUGGAAAUCUGUGUGUGUGAGGAAGAGCAAGAAGAAGGAAGGGAGGUUGGGGGCAAGAAGAUGUGUCGCCUAUGCCCUAGAGAGCAUGGAAACUAGACCACUAUUUUGCCCAUCUUUCAAAUCAACUACUGCUCUCAUUACAUUCAUUCGGGAUAUAUGUUUUCCCUUUCAAUUCCCAUAAAAAAAUUUCAGAAGUGCAGAUAGUAUAUUAAUCACCAACCACUACUGAAAACACUUGUUGAUCCAAUGGGUUUAUCACUAACCCUCUCAAAUGUACAACGAGAAAGCACAAAAGUAGAAAAAACCUCACUGCUUAAGCAUGUGCUUUAGUUGCACAAUGUUUUCUCUGUAAAUCAAUCAAACGUUCCAUUUCACCCAUCAUUAUCAAUCAAUCCAUUGAUGAGCAUGGACACUUCACAUAGAAACCUGCUGUUUCAACUCACAAUAUCAAGUGGACAACAUUUGGCUGGCUGUUCAAGUGAAUUUCAUUAGUGCCCAUAUUUAUCAAAAUGAUUCUCAUACUAAUAAUACCAACUCAAAUGAAGAGACAAAAGUGGAAGUUCUGAAACCAAUCUAGAAUUUAAGUUUCCAAAUUUAUUACAAACAAAUCAUCUUUGGAAUGAAUUAGGGUUUAAACAAGGAGAUAACAAAGCCAAGACUUGUGGGGUUCCCUUAAUGAGACGCAGACGUCGUUGUCCUCACAUGUAUAAACACAAUGGUCUAAUACCCAACUCAAAGAAAGAAAAGAGUAAAUCAAUAGGACAAAACCAAUGUCCUUAAUAAUGGAGGUCCAUCACCAAUAUUAAUGGCAUGCAAAUCAAAUGAUCCUAUAAUGUUCAACUAUUCAACUUGGUCUAUAGAGAAAAACAGAAGUACUUGCUUAGAGCAGAAGCAGAUAAACAAAUGAUAGAAGCAUCACAAAACUUUUCAUAUAUAUUACAUGUAUACCAAGCGCCAAGCACCACAGUGGCAUCUACUAAAAAUGUUUCUAUAUAUAUAUAAAAAAAGAUAUAAAGUAUUUAUGUAUACUUCUACACUAAUAAAAUCUACAAAAUCAAGCGACUUUUCAAAUAAUGACAGAAAUAGAGAACGGGAAGGGAAUCGCUUUCCUGCUAGUACAUCUUCCCCCAGGUUAUGCCUUUUCUAAAAGAUUUAUUUUGAGAUUAGAGCAUGAAAGAGCAGCAUUAAAAGAAGGAGGAGGAGGAGAAGCAUAGAACUUUUACCACAGUUGAAAGCCAGAUCUGAAGGUACCAGAAACGAACAGAUCAGAUACUGGAAGCCAUCAUGAGAGAAAUCUGCAUAAUGAAGAACUAGAAAAAGGCUGACAAAAAACACCAUCAUCGCAACAACAGGAAAAAGAAAAAUAAAAAGAGGAUAAUGAUGAAACUUUUAUUCAAAGUGGAUGGUCAAACACUUCAUCAUUACACCAAUCUGCAAAGGUCUAACAAUCUUGAUUCGCCUAAAAAUGAAAAACCAUGAUCUAGACCUGCCGAUGUUUCCCAAAAAAAGACCAAUAUAACAAAUUAGAGAAAAGGAAUAAAGGAAUUUGUAGAAAACCAAACCUUUACGUGCAGGCCUUGAAAAAUCAGGAUGGAAGCAUUAAUUGGGGGGAAUGAAGCCUGGUCCGACGACACUAGCUGAUGAUCAAUCUACUUUCUACAUCCAUAUAUGCCCUAGAUCAGAUCUAUGGAUAUAUAUAAUUUGAGAAAAAAUGGAUCAAAAGAGAGUCCUCGAGCCAGACAACAUUCCCCUCAAAAGAGAAGCUUCCUUCGAAUUCAUUCCAGAGAAAGAGAGAUGAAUUUAGUGCGUGGGCGUGUGUAUUUCUUGGGCUCGUUUCUUAUCUCUUUAUCCCCCAAGAGUCUCGCCUAUCUUCAAGGGGGAUGAGAGAGAGAGAGAGAGAGA
rnacentral:misc_RNA from 1 species